UACGUAGGGUGCGAGCGUUAAUCGGAAUUACUGGGCGUAAAGCGUGCGCAGGCGGUUUUGUAAGCCAGAUGUGAAAUCCCCGGGCUUAACCUGGGAAUGGCAUUUGGGACUGCAAGGCUCGAGUGCGGCAGAGGAGACUGGAAUUCCUGGUGUAGCAGUGAAAUGCGUAGAUAUCAGGAGGAACACCGAUGGCGAAGGCAGGUCUCUGGGCUGACACUGACGCUCAUGCACGAAAGCGUGGGGAGCAAACGAGG
rnacentral:rRNA from 1 species